GACGAACGCUGGCGGCGUGCUUAACACAUGCGAGUCGAACGGAAAGGCCCUGCUUUUGUGGGGUGCCCGAGUGGCGAACGGGUGAGUAACACGUGAGUAACCUGCCCUUGACUUUGGGAUAACUUCAGGAAACUGGGGCUAAUACCGGAUAGGAGCUCCUGCUGCAUGGUGGGGGUUGGAAAGUUUCGGCGGUUGGGGAUGGACUCGCGGCUUAUCAGCUUGUUGGUGGGGUAGUGGCUUACCAAGGCUUUGAUGGGUAGCCGGCCUGAGAGGUUGACCGGCCACAUUGGGCCUGAGAUACGGCCCAGACUCCUACGGGAGGCAGCAGUGGGGAAUAUUGCACAAUGGGCGGAAGCCUGAUGCAGCAACGCUGCGUGCGGGAUGACGGCCUUCUGGUUGUAAACCGCUUUCGCCUGUGACGAAGCGUGAGUGACGGUAAUGAGUAAAGAAGCACCGGCUAACUACGUG
rnacentral:rRNA from 1 species